rnacentral:rRNA from 1 species
AUUGAACGCUGGCGGCAGGCCUAACACAUGCAAGUCGAACGAGUGGCGGACGGGUGAGUAAUGUCUGGGACACUGCCUGAUGGAGGGGGAUAACUAAUGGACACGGUAGCUAAUACCGCAUACCUUCACAUGUGUCCAGUUGGGAUUAGCUAGUUGGUGGGGCAACGGCUAACCAGGGCGACGAUCCCUAGCUGGUCUGAGAGGAUGACCAGCCACACUGGAACUGAGACACGGUCCAGACUCCUACGGGAGGCAGCAGUGGGGAAUAUUGCACAAUGGGCGAAAGCCUGAUGUAGCAAUGCCGCGUGUAUGAAGAAGGCCUUCGGGUUGUAAAGUACUUUCAGCGGGGAGGCGUUACCCGCAGAAGAAGCACCGGCUAACUCCGUGCCAGCAGCCGCGGUAAUAC